rnacentral:rRNA from 1 species
AGUGAACGCUGGCGGCAGGCCUAACACAUGCAAGUCGAACGGCAGCACAGGAGAGCUUGCUCUCUGGGUGGCGAGUGGCGGACGGGUGAGGAAUAUAUCGGAAUCUACCCUUUCGUGGGGGAUAACGUAGGGAAACUUACGCUAAUACCGCAUACGAACUGAGGUUGAAAGCGGCGGACCGCAAGGCGUCGCGCGGAUGGAUGAGCCGAUAUCCGAUUAGCUAGUUGGCGGGGUAAAGGCUCACCAAGGCGACGAUCGGUCGCUGGUCUGAGAGGAUGAGCAGCCAGACUGGAACUGAGACACGGGCCAGACCCCUACGUGAGGCAGCAGUGGGGAUUAUUGGAGAAUGGGCGUAAGCCAGAUCCAGCCAUGCCGCGUGUGUGAAGAAGGCCUUCGGGUUGUAAAGCACUUUUGUUGGGAAAGAAAAGCGGUCGGUUAAUACCCGGUCGUUCUGACGGUACCCAAAGAGUAAGCACCGGCUAACUUCGUGCCAGCCGCCGCCGUAA